GCUCUCCCGUUGUUUCACUAAAGUGUAUUCAUUGUAUAUGCAUGUGACUGUACUGUGCAUGCGUGCAACCCACUAAUUGUCAGUAAUUGACUAGAGGCAUUGUUGUGUGGGGUUAGAUCUAGUGUAGCAAUGCAGUUGUAUUGUAGAGCUAUAUUUAGUUGUCUCCAUGGAUUAUCUCAUGAAUGAAACAAGUGAUGGCAACAACCUAUCUGAUGAGUGUGCUAACAGGACUGCCUCUAUUGUGCUACAGUCUACCCUACCAGUCAUUCUCAUAUGCCAUGCUUGUGUACUCACCAUCCUAGUUGUCUCCAGUGUUCUCACCAAUUCUAUUGUGAUUCUGUUGAUCUGCAAAUACAAACUUCUGCAAGUUAGAAAUGUCAUACUUAUUGCAAGCCUCACUGCUGCAGAUGUUCUGCUAAACAUAUUCUAUUCUCUGCCAUCUCUGGUGAAUACUAUCUCCAAACAGUGGCUAUUCACAGACCAUGGAUGUACAGCAUUUGGAUUUCUAGCCUAUGAGUUUUUGUUAACCCGUUGGAUUCUCAUGGGAAUGCUUUGCUUGGACAGAUUCUUUACAGUUCGUUUUCCAUUCAGCUACCCCAGACACAGUAAGAAGAUUCUAUUGAUCCUUGCAGCAGUGGCUUGGAUUCUCCCGUUUCUAAUUUCGUCGGCUGUUUUGUUUGGAGUUGGCGAAGGUCGAUUGAGAGAAGGAGGACCUACUUGUUUACCGACGUGUGUUGACGAUCCCCGUUGUCAGCUCUAUUAUGCUGUCUGCACUUCAGGUACAUUCUUUAUCGGAGGUAUUCUACCAGUGCUGCUGUAUACGUGGAUGUUCUAUCAGGGAAAGAAAGGGAGGUCUAUACUACAAAUGGGAGUUAUGUCGGCCACUGAAACAGGAGGGAGUAUGGCCGUGAGACGAUCGUUCAGUCAUUCACUGGAUUACCGAGAAAAACGAGCGCUUGUAACAUUUCUGCUUUUGUUAGUAACUGUUCUUGUCACCGGCGUUCCCGCUUAUAUCCUACAAGUUGUCCGUACAGCAAGCGUUUAUUAUUCGUGUCAGAUUCCAAUCUACGUUUCGUUUGUAAUCACUGAGCUCUUAAUGUCGGCAUCAACCUUAAACGCUUUAGUUAUUAUGAGAGAUAGAGACUUUCGUCAUUGUUUCAAACAAUUUUUUUGUCGACGGUUAUCAUCUCAAACAAAAGAUUCAUUUACAGGCAACAGUGUGUCAAAAAGUGCAUCAAAUCGUCUUAGCAAAGAAACGACAGAGAAUGGACUGCAAUUGUCAAGUGACUCUGAGCAAGGCUGAUAAAUCGAGAGUGGGUCUACUCUCUGUUGUUCUCGCUCUCAUUAUGAUGAAACAAGGCAGAAUGUCUGAAGAACAUCUUUGGAGUUGUUUGGGGCGGCUAAAGCUAUCUCGUGACGGGAUGAAACAUUCUACUUUUGGAGAUGUGGGAAGAAUUAUCAGCAAAGAAUUUGUGGAAGAGCU